rnacentral:rRNA from 1 species
UGAAAUUGAACUCGCUGUGAAGAUGCAGUGUACCCGCGGCAAGACGGAAAGACCCCGUGAACCUUUACUAUAGCUUGACACUGAACAUUGAGCCUUGAUGUGUAGGAUAGGUGGGAGGCUUUGAAGUGUGGACGCCAGUCUGCAUGGAGCCGACCUUGAAAUACCACCCUUUAAUGUUUGAUGUUCUAACGUGGACCCGUUACCCGGGUUGCGGACAGUGUCUGGUGGGUAGUUUGACUGGGGCGGUCUCCUCCUAAAGAGUAACGGAGGAGCACGAAGGUUGGCUAAUCCUGGUCGGACAUCAGGAGGUUAGUGCAAUGGCAUAAGCCAGCUUGACUGCGAGCGUGACGGCGCGAGCAGGUGCGAAAGCAGGUCAUAGUGAUCCGGUGGUUCUGAAUGGAAGGGCCAUCGCUCAACGGAUAAAAGGUACUCCGGGGAUAACAGGCUGAUACCGCCCAAGAGUUCAUAUCGACGGCGGUGUUUGGCACCUCGAUGUCGGCUCAUCACAUCCUGGGGCUGAAGUAGGUCCCAAGGGUAUGGCUGUUCGCCAUUUAAAGUGGUACGCGAGCUGGGUUUAGAACGUCGUGAGACAGUUCGGUCCCUAUCUGCCGUGGGCGCUGGAGAACUGAGGGGGGCUGCUCCUAGUACGAGAGGACCGGAGUGGACGCAUCACUGGUGUUCGGGUUGUCAUGCCAAUGGCACUGCCCGGUAGCUAAAUGCGGAAGAGAUAAGUGCUGAAAGCAUCUAAGCACGAAACUUGCCCCGAGAUGAGUUCUCCCUGAGACUUAGAGUCUCCUGAAGGAACGUUGAAGACGACGACGUUGAUAGGCCGGGUGUGUAAGCG